AUUGAACGCUGGCGGCAGGCCUAACACAUGCAAGUCGAGCGAGCGGCGGACGGGUGAGUAAUGUCUGGGAAUCUGCCUGAUGGAGGGGGUUAACUACCGGAAACUGCACCUAAUACCGCAUACCAUCAGAUGUGCCCAGGUGGGAUUAGCUAGUAGGUGGGGUAAUGGCUCACCUAGGCGAUGAUCCCUAGCUGGUCUGAGAGGAUGACCAGCCACACUGGAACUGAGACACGGUCCAGACUCCUACGGGAGGCAGCAGUGGGGAAUAUUGCACAAUGGGCGCAAGCCUGAUGCAGCCAUGCCGCGUGUGUGAAGAAGGCCUUCGGAUUGUAAAGCACUUUCAGCGGGGAGGCGUUACUCACAGAAGAAGCACCGGCUAACUCCGUGCCAGCAGCCGCGGUAAUAC
rnacentral:rRNA from 1 species